rfam:Triticum aestivum genome assembly, contig: Triticum_aestivum_CS42_TGACv1_scaffold_225049_3B
AAUGUACUUCUUCCGUCCGAAAAUACUUGUCAUCGAAAUGAAUAAAAGUGAAUGUACCUAUAUGUAUUUUAGUUCUAGAUACGUUUCUUUUUGUUUAUUUUGAUGAAAAGUAUUUUAGAACGAAGGAACUACGAA